AUGUGGCUUCUAUUCGCCGCUAGUCUGUCUCUCAGUUUGAUGUCAAGAAUGCCUACAACUAGCCACCACCUCGGUUCUCUUCCUAAUGGCAUGGUUUGUCAUCUUCGUCGCUGUCUAUAUGGCUCUAAUCAAACCCCUCAUGCCUGCUUUGAGCGCUUCGUCUCGGUGGUGAUUGCGGCCAGUUUUUGGCGAGUGCUCAUUAUCCUACACUUUCGGUCCACCAUUCAACUCGUGGUCGAACACUUCUUCUACAUGUCGAUCAUCACUGGCAACGAUUCUAAGUACAUUGCCUUGUUGAAGGCUCGUGGUAGAACACUUCUACAUGUCGAUCAUCACUGGCACCAGGAUCGUCACUAG
rnacentral:rRNA from 1 species